rnacentral:rRNA from 1 species
CGGGGUGAGUAACACGUGAGCAACCUGCCUUUAAGAGUGGGAUAACAGUCGGAAACGACCGCUAAUACCGCAUAAUAUACUUGUAUCGCAUGGUAUGGGUAUCAAAGAUUUAUCGCUUAAAGAUGGGCUCGCGUCUGAUUAGCUGGUUGGUGAGGUAACGGCUCACCAAGGCGACGAUCAGUAGCCGUACUGAGAGGUAGAACGGCCACAUUGGGACUGAGACACGGCCCAGACUCCUACGGGAGGCAGCAG